GCUCCCGUAGUUUAAUGGAUAGAAUGCAGGUUUGCGGUACCUGCGAUCUAGGUUCGAUUCCUAGCGGGAGCACCA
rnacentral:tRNA from 1 species